GUUACAGCAGCCGCGGUAAUACGUAGGUGGCGAGCGUUGUCCGGAAUUACUGGGUGUAAAGGGCGUGUAGGCGGGACUGUAAGUCAGAUGUGAAAUUCCAAGGCUUAACCUUGGCGCUGCAUCUGAAACUAUGGUUCUUGAGUGCUGGAGAGGAAAGCGGAAUUCCUAGUGUAGCGGUGAAAUGCGUAGAUAUUAGGAGGAACACCAGUGGCGAAGGCGGCUUUCUGGACAGUAACUGACGCUGAGGCGCGGAAGCGUGGGGAGCAAACAGGAUUAGAAACCCGUGUAGUCC
rnacentral:rRNA from 1 species